rnacentral:rRNA from 1 species
GCAAAACGCGAAGAACCUUACCAGGUCUUGACAUCCCGCUGACCGGCCUAGAGAUAGGCUUUUCCCUUCGGGGACAGCGGUGACAGGUGGUGCAUGGUUGUCGUCAGCUCGUGUCGUGAGAUGUUGGGUUAAGUCCCGCAACGAGCGCAACCCUUGAUCUUAGUUGCCAGCAUUCAGUUGGGCACUCUAAGGUGACUGCCGGUGAUAAACCGGAGGAAGGUGGGGAUGACGUCAAAUCAUCAUGCCCCUUAUGACCUGGGCUACACACGUGCUACAAUGGAACGGUACAAACGGUUGCCAACCCGCGAGGGGGAGCUAAUCCGAUAAAAACCCGUUCUCAGUUCGGAUUGUAGGCUGCAACUCGCCUACAUGAAGCCGGAAUCGCUAGUAAUCGCGGAUCAGCAUGCCGCGGUGAAUACGUUCCCGGGUCUUGUACACACCG